rnacentral:tRNA from 1 species
AAUUAUGUAUUCUAAAAAGGAUUUUAAAUUGCAAAUUUAAAGGUAAAUUAAAAUUUCAUAGUUU